GGCCGCCCGCCGCUGCCGACUUCCGGGUCCCGCAAACACCUGACCCGCUGCGCCUCCCUAUCUCCUCCUCUCGCAGAAACGCAUAGGAAAAGAAAUCUCCCCGCUUCCCUCGCCGCAGCCUGCUCGCCCGCUCCAUCUGCCCACAUAGAGCCGCCGUCCACCGCGCCGACGCCGCCCUCCUACCCCGCAGGCCGGGGGUCGAUGCCGGUGCCCUCCACCGCGGACGCCGCUGCCAUCGCCCUCCACCACGGAUGCCGCGGGAUAAGGAGAUGGUGGCGGCAUCGAGAUCCAGGCGGCAGACACGUGCGUCCUCCCGCCGCUACGUCCGACGGCGCCGCCGUAAUUCGCACAUCAGCCGCCACCGCGCACCUCAGCCGCUGUCAGACCGCCGCCGCGCGUCCUCCUGCUGGUCUCAAACCCUAAACCCAUCUUCUUCUCCUUCUUUUUCUCGUUUCUCCCUCGAAUCCAUGGGAUUCGCCGAUUCGCGUAUUACUUGUUUCCUACUGAUUCGUCUCGUGGUCCUCGUGUCGCCGCUGCUGGAAUCCUCCUGCCCCGUCGCCUCGCGGGCCGCUGGCCUCGCGCGCCGCCGCAACCCUGUGGCUGUCCCUCCCACACCACCGCCGCAGCCCCGCCAUCCGCAGAUGGCCGCGCCGCCACGACCACUGAAUCCUACUGGCCGCUCCGAUGCGGCCUCGUGGGAGCACGAGGAGGCUGAGGGGCCGUGCCUCCCCAACUGCUCCGUGUGUAUGAAUCACGCAGGUCAUAUUAUGGUCUUACGUGUUCAGCAGCAAAGAUAAAAUCUGAGGUGCUGGUAUAUCUCUGUACAAGGCCCUACAAAAACUGCCCCUUCUAAUGAAACAAGGGGUAUCGGCAGACUGCUGUGGAUGAGAAGUACAUUAUAUAAGACGUCAUUGGGAAAUCCAGAGUGCAGUCACAUUGAGCUUGCCCAAGAAGGCCACUGCCCACCACGCGAGGUAUUGUACUGUCUAUGCACGGGAAGAAGCUUGCAGUUUUAUUGUGCAGGAUUAGCUACCUCCAAUUGUUUUGUAGAUUCUCCUUGGCUUCUUAAUUUCUUUAAGCUUGUUCUACUUUGUGAUUAGCAUAUCCUAGAUAGAAAAAGAGCGAUUCACAAUGCAGGGGGAGGGGUGCUAUUGUGUCUCAGUAAAUAAUUACUUCAAUGUUACGUAUCAUGUAUGAAGGUACAACUUCUGACCUGUAAACUCUGUUGUUGUGAAAGGUUAGUACCUUACUCAAUUAUUGAUCAUGACAAGAAAGAACAUUUGUCCUAUCUGCGUCCAGGGAAGAUGGGCUUCCAAAUUAAGGUAAGCUAAUUUAAUUGGUAGAACUGAUAUGGCUAUCUGAUUUUUCAUUUUCCAUGGUGGAAUUGGAAGGGCUAAUUUCAGUUGCAAGGUAAGAACAUUUUUCAUUGUACAAUUGUACCUAACUUUAGCUAAUUUCAGUUACAUGGGAAUCGGAAGAGCUAAAAGAAGGGUAGAAACUGAGAACCUUGCAUCUACAUAUUGUACUCUUACCCUGGUUCCAAUAUAUAAUAGCAGUAAAAAAAACUGUUGGUCAACAAGGUAAAUAAGAGUUUUCUUUUUCUUCUGCUUUACUGCCUUUUGCAGAUGCACAUGAACCCUGGUAGGCGAUUUGUCUCUCUUUACUGCUCUGCACUGUUAUUUUUUUUCCUUAUCUAACACUGACGUCUAAAACUGAUAUGGGUUUCUCCUACAGAGCUAGAGCAAAGUUCUAAUCUUGUACUCAAACAAAUCGAUAAUUUUCUGUAGGCGCAGCUACUGAUGCAGCCGGUACCUGCGUAUUUGAUGACAGCAGGUAUGCUGCUAGCAAACCACUAUUUAGAGAAUAAGGUGUUUCAUGGGGGCAUUGUCGUAAGGUUGCUAAACCGGAUGCAUGGAAGGAGAGGCUAACUUCAAACACAUUUGAUCGAAAUGUAUAAAUGUUUGUGUAUCGCUAUAGUUACCUGGAGGCAGAAUAUACAUAGCAAAAUAUACAUUCCUGCUGAUUCAGUUAACUGAACUCGAGAAGGUUCUUAGACUUAGAAGGUUACUGAUCCUAUGGCCGAAGCCUCAAAGGUGUCUCCCAUCGUAUGACAAAUGCCUUUUUAAUAAGAGUUCAUAAUGUUCCUGUGGUGAAGCAACACUUUCAAUCUCGAUGUAGACAUACAUUCUCUGCAUAUAGUUUCUCUUAUUUUGUUUACA